GCAAGCGACCAAUUCCGUUAAACUAUUCUGCUUAUUAUGCACCCCUUUCUUGGCCAACCACCUAUUCCAAACGUAACGUACGUCUUCUUCCAUCUCCCUAGCCUGAACUCUCUCCCGAAUCAUCACCAUGCAGAAUUUGGUAAAGACGCAUUGAGAGAAUAGGUGAUCCACUGUCUCCUCGUGUACCCUACACAGAACGCAGACUGAAUCUUAGGUCCAAUCUUUCUUCACGAGAUUAUCAGUUGUAAGAGGUCUCUACUUAAGAACUAGCCAACAGAACACUUUGACCUUGAGG
rnacentral:lncRNA from 1 species